rnacentral:rRNA from 1 species
CGGGUCUUGUACACACCGCCCGUCACACCACGAGAGUUUGUAACACCCGAAGCCGGUGGAGUAACCAUUUUGGAGCUAGCCGUCGAAGGUGGGACAAAUGAUUGGGGUGAAGUCGUAACAAGGUAGCCGUAUCGGAAGGUGCGGCUGGAUCACCUCCUUUCUAAGGA